GAAACGGUAAGUGAGUGAUCUCGUCCCGUACAAUUGUCGGUACAUACAUGCCUAUAACUGGAAUUCAAUCUAAUUAUGCCAGUGACUGUAAAAGUUUUAACAUUUCUCUUCAGUGAUGCCUUCGCUGUCUCUCACGACCUCGAUCUGAGACGCCUCAGGAGAAGCGCCAGCUCCGGCAGUGGCAGCUACAGCAUUGAGGAGUGAAGAUUCCUCUGAGGAAGGGACGACUACCGCUCGUUGAACAAGGACUCUGAUGUGACGGCGCUGACAUUCGCCAAACGACCUGACCCUAUUUGGCUCUGCUCAUUUCAAUCAGGAUAUAUCCAAGUACA